GGGUAUUUUGACCGUGCUAAGGUAGCANAAUCAUUUGCUACUNAAUUGGUAGCUGGGAUGAAAGGUNAAACUAGUUUACUCAGUUUGUUGUGUUUUGUAAGAAAUNAAAGUCGAGGUAAGAAUUCUUUGAUCUGCNAGGGGACGAUAAGACCCNAGAAGCUUAACAAUAAGAGUAUUUAUNAGUUANAAAAAUUAAUUUGUUUUACUGGGGCGGUAAAGGUAUAUAAACUAUUAGUGUAUNGANAGAUCCUUAAAAUAAAGAUAAAACGGGAAAGUUACUCUAGGGGUAACAGUGCAAUAUUUUUGGAGAGAUCAUAUCGANAAAAAUGUUUGCAACCUCGAUGUNGAAUUAAGAUGUCUACGNGAAGCAGCAGGUACGUGAGAAGGUUUGUUCAACCUUUAAAUUUUUACAUGAUCNGAGUUCAAACCGGA
rnacentral:rRNA from 1 species